AUUUUUCGCACCUUGAUCUAACAGGUUUACGACUGGCACCACCAACAUUUUAAUAUGCCGUCCGCAGUUAUUUUAAUCGGUACCACGCUAUCUUUUAUUAUUCUCCUAAAUUGUGGCGGCUACGGCCAGGUUAUUCCCCCUACUAUUGACGCUGAUUGGGAAUAUUAUAUGAUUACAAUUAGUUAUCCUGUACAGGGAAUGCCUCUUUAUGCUAGACCAUCAUAUGUUGCAGCGGCUCAACUUUUAUUUAAUUAUGCUCCUAAAGUACAACCGAUUCACACAUUUAAGGUUGCUGGAGAACCAAGAAUUAUGGCAAUUGUAAAAGCCUCCGCACCUGGUGCAUUGUGUGACAUUGCAAUGGGAGUAACUAAUUUUGGAUUAGAAAUAGAAACCAUCCCGAUGUAUGCCUUUGAAGCUUUCGCCACAUUUGUGGGUGUUCAGCGGGAUUUAACUUACACUCCUUUACGAGCUCUACCAUGUUCCCGUGUUUAUAUGUUUGAAACAGUUGUUGAGUCACCCGGUGAAUUAAGUGCUUAUACUGAAGUAAUGAAAAACUAUACUACGGAAGUUUUAAGACUGAGAGCAGCUGGUAUUAUCAUGGACGCCUAUAAACACCUGUCUGUUAUCCCUAAUAGGUUUGCCGUCUUCAGUUGUGGAACGCCAUCUUUCUUCGACCAAAUGAUGAUGAGUUUAAAUAGUUUAAAUUCGGAUUAUGGUAUAUUUGCUGUUGAAAGAGCCGUUUCCUUGGUUUCAUGGAAUCCAUAUAAGGGCAAAGAUGCUUUAUGUCAUGUCCAGAACUUUCAUGAGGGUGUUUUCGGAUUCGGCAAAAAGAAAUAAAGAAGAGAGAAACUGGUUCACCAUGACAUAGUGCCGAGAAUUACAGAGAAACAUUCAACUAAAAUCUAUAUAAAAAGAACUCAUGAGCAAUUUGACUUUAGCCUAAGUAGUUGGUAUUCAAUCAGACAAAAUACAUUAUAGUGCAUUAUUGUACCUUACUAAAUUCAAAAUUCGUAUUCUGAAUGCUAAAUUACCAGAGGUUACAUAAUUAGAGUAUUUAUUGGCUGUUAUUUUUGUUAGUGCAUUAUUGUAACUUACUAAAUUCAAAUUUCGUAUUCUGAAUGCUAAAUUACAGUAUUUAUUGGCUGUUAUUUUUGUUAGUGCAUUAUUGUACCUUACUAAAUUCAAAUUUCGUAUUAUGAAUGCUAAAUUACCAGAGGUUUCAUAAUUAGAGUAUUUAUUGGCUGUUAUUUUUGUUAUUGAACUUUUAGUUAGUGUGAAUUAAACAUAUUUAACAUAAACGGGGGAAUAAAUAUGAACAGGAGGUUAAACUGUUAAAUGUGU